UGCAGUUCUCGGGUGACGCACCCAGAACCAGAGAGGAGGGACUCUGAUUCUGGGGUGCAUCACCUGAGAACCGCC
rfam:Myotis lucifugus cont2.42400, whole genome shotgun sequence.